rnacentral:rRNA from 1 species
AUUAAUGUAUUUUUAAAAUGUUGUCCUGGUUUUGUAACUAAAAUGGUUUGGCAGUGAGCGAUUCUUGUUAGGGGAAGAUGCAUAGUAAAGGAUGGUCCACCUAUUAUUUCACUCUUGUUAUGUUGGUGUAUAUCUGGUUUGAUAUUAUCGUUUAAUGGUUUGAGUUUGUGUAGUUUUAGUUAAGCCAAGUCUAUGUGCUGCUUAUGGGAGUUUUUGUGUGUUACAUUGAUAAGGGUGUUGUUGUAAUAUGAUAUUAUUUAGGACUUAAUAGUAAUGUUUAAAUUAGUUUGUUGAUGUGAAAUGAGUUUAGCUCA